UUUCCCCUUCGGGGGCAAAAUGACAGGUGGUGCAUGGUUGUCGUCAGCUCGUGUCGUGAGAUGUUGGGUUAAGUCCCGCAACGAGCGCAACCCUUAUGACUAGUUGCCAGCAUUUAGUUGGGCACUCUAGUAAGACUGCCGGUGACAAACCGGAGGAAGGUGGGGAUGACGUCAAAUCAUCAUGCCCCUUAUGACCUGGGCUACACACGUGCUACAAUGGAUGGUACAACGAGUUGCGAGACCGCGAGGUCAAGCUAAUCUCUUAAAGCCAUUCUCAGUUCGGACUGUAGGCUGCAACUCGCCUACACGAAGUCGGAAUCGCUAGUAAUCGCGGAUCAGCACGCCGCGGUGAAUACGUUCCCGGGCCUUGUACACACCGCCCGU
rnacentral:rRNA from 2 species